rnacentral:lncRNA from 1 species
UUUUCUAUAUAUGUUUUUUGAAAAAAAAAAUAUUAUAUUUUAUUCUUUAUACUUGGAAUAUUUAUCAUUCUACAUUUGACUUAUUUAUACAUUUCUUUUUGUUCUUAUCUUUAUUUUUUGUAUUUUUUUUCUUUUCUUUCCUUACACUUUUUUAUAAAUCAUUAUACAAAACUAAAAGUAAAUGGUGUUUCAUUGUAGCAAUUGCA